rnacentral:rRNA from 1 species
UGCGAGUUUGAUCCUGGCUCAGGAUAAACGCUGGCGGCGUGCCUUAUGCAUGCAAGUCGAACGGGAAUGAAGACUUCGGUUUUCAUUCUAGUGGCAAACGGGUGAGUAACGCGUAAGUGACCUGUCCUCGAGUGGGGGAUAACCCCGAGAAAUCGGAGCUAAUACCGCAUGAAGUACCGAGGGUAAGUACUUGGUACUAAAGCCGCAAGGCGCUUGAGGAGGGACUUGCGUCCUAUCAGGUAGUUGGUAGGGUAACGGCCUACCAAGCCGACGACGGGUAGCUGGUCUGAGAGGAUGUCCAGCCACACUGGGACUGAGAUACGGCCCAGACUCCUACGGGAGGCAGCAGCAAGGAAUUUUGCGCAAUGGGCGAAAGCCUGACGCAGCAACGCCGCGUGG